UCGGCCAUCGACUCAAUCCACUCGCCCCAAUAUCCUCCCGCUUUCCCUGCCGCAAUCUCGAGGAUUCCUCGCCGCCGCGGUAAGAAACAGGGCUGCCGCGGGAGUGUUCCGGCUUACCGUCUACCGCGCCCGGUGUGGGGCUUGGGGACUACCCUUGGUGGUGGGGCAGGCUCUCGUGGCCGCACUAUCCGGAGUUGGUCGCCAGCAUCGGACGAAUUGCUCGCAGAACUUGCGAAAUCACCGCAGAGCCCCCCGCCCCAUCCCGUGGGCAGUGCACGUCGCACCACCGUCGCAGGUAAGAACUCCCUUGAUGAAUUCGCGCUACUUUCCUCUUCAUUUCCAUGUCGCUUAGGUUGAAUCAAUCCGUGGUCGUCCGUUCUGCGAUUGAUGGUCCCGAUUAGAUCGUGAAUGUUUAAAAUCCGAACCAUUGGAUAUAAAUCCAAGGAUCUGCACGAUAUACCGAUUCAAUGAAUCAUGGAUCUAAUCUGUGUCAUCUGCUCUUGAUCGGAUGGCUAGGGUUACUCCGUACCCCUUUGGCUUGCGCAAAUUGUAAAUGAGCCCUCGGGCUUUUAGCGAAUCAACUUGCAGUCCUAGCGGAUGUAUUCUGAGUCUUAUGAAUAAUCGCGCAGUAGCCCCUGUCUUUUUCGGUAAUUGACGCGCAGUCCAGAAGUCAGUAAAAAUGAAUAAAUGAUUAAGGAAAUUAAUUUUUAGUAUGAAAUUAAUUACAGAAACCUGUAUAAUUCCUAGAAAAAUCAUAUUAAGUCCAAAUUGGUCUAUUCCAGUUCCUAUAAUUUUGUAUUAAUACUGUCUAUAACUCUAUAACACCGUUUUAACAUGAAAAGUGUAUUAAAAUUGAUCUCAUUUUGGUAGUUUUGCUAUUGCUCUGUAUGGUUUUGGGUUUAAUAUUACAUUAUGUCCAUGUUCCAAUUAUUCUGUUAUUUUAUUUAUUAUUCAUGUCAAGGUCAUUAUUUUAAUUGGAACAUGGAGCUUAACUUAAGAAACACGUGCCACCACAUGGGUGGAAUGGGACGUCCUUGGCUGACUAACUAGGAAAGCUAGUGGAUGACUACCUUACCUGAUACGGGCAAGGGCAGUAGGGAAGUAGGCAUGUAGGGAGGUUUCCGGGUUGAUUUUGCUGCGAUGGCGGUCAGACGGGGGAUUCUUGCAUUGCUCUUCCUAGAACUGUAGUGGGUUUUCUAAAGCUAGUGGAACUAGGUAAAGGCCUCAUAGAGUUACCCUGCCUCGCUUUCUUGGUAGAGGUGUAUGGGGCUCGUACAACCCCAUGGCAGAUGAGUAACAUGACUUGUGGGUACAGGGUACAACCUCUAUAGAGUGUAAAACUGGUAUACUAGCCGUGCUCGCGGUCAUGAGCAGCUCAGGAUUCUCGCAUGUUUAAAUUAUGGAACUAAAAUCAAUUUACCAUUUGCAUUGCAUGGGAUUUAUUAUUAAUUUUGUUCUAUAUUUAGUAUGGUUUGGUAUUUACUUACAUCUAGUAAUUGCUAAUAAAAUUUGACCAACUUAUUAAAAGCAAUGCUCAGCUUUAACCCCUAUUGUUGAUUAGCCUUACACACCACAUGAACUCCCACCUUGGUGAGUUCAUGCACAUUAUUCUUCACGACUUGUUGAGCUAUUAUCUUUUGUGAGCUCACACUUGUGAUAUAUAACCCCCCCACAGAAGAAGAACUUGUGAUCCAAGAGGAGCCGCACAACGAGGAGUUCGACUGGAUCUAGGUGGUGUCUCCCAGUCGACUUUAUGGCGCCAAGGAUGGACCUUAGUUCGUUUUAUAUUUAUCUUUUAUUUUCAUGAGACUUCCGCUAUGUAAUAAUUACUAUUAUGAUAUUGUGACAUUUAUCUCUAUACAUUCUGUUAUUAUAUGUGUUGUUCUUCUUUGGCGCACAUAUGAGAUACACCCGACUUUAUCCCUUAAAUCCGGGUGUGACAGAAGUGGUAUCAUAGAAAAUGUUGACUGUAGACAAAACCUAUAUAGAAAUGGACAAAACCCUUACCUACUUACCUUAAUCUGACUCUUCCUAUACUUAUCUUGAUCUUGUCUCACCUUUUGCUGUUCUACUCUGAUUACUCUUAUCUUUUCUACUCUAAGACAAGAUGGAUUUCACACCUUGGAAUCUUACAUUUAUGACCCAUUUUUAAGAGAUAGGAGACCAAAAACAAA
rnacentral:lncRNA from 1 species